ACUAAACAAAACUUCGGUUGCUGGGAAGAGCCGUUGCGCAACCCUGGCAGGAGGCGGCGGGGGCCGCCCGGCCUGGCCCAGCCCAAGCGCGGCUUCCCCGAGGCUGCGCCACAGCGCGCAGGAACCACGCGCGGCCCCCGCGUCCGGGGGCCUCGGGCCCGGGGCGCCCCGGCCUCAAGGGAGACGCCUGGCCCCGCCACCCCGUCGGGUCCGGGACGGAAACGCGGGGCAUGAGCGCAGGGGAUGCGGAUGGGGGUGCAGGACGCGCAACGGGUGCGGACCGCUCCGGGGGAAGUCGGGCCCGCGAGGGUCCAGGGGAGGGGCCCGCUGGUCCCCCCGAACGCAGGCGCGGCCGGUGGGGCCGGUCCCCCGCCCCGGGCAUUGCUACAUCUAUGAAGGAAGCUGAAAAGGAUUACUGCUUCCCUGGUGGCGCAGUGGUUAGGAAUCCGCCUGUCAAUGCAGCAGACACAGGUUCGAGCCCCGGUCCAGGAAGAUCCCACAUGCCGAGGAGCAAUUAAGCCUGUGCACCACAACUACGGAGCCUGUGCUCUAGAGCCUGCGAGCCACAACUACUAAGCCCGUGUGCCACAACUACGGAAGCCCACGCACCUAGAGCCUGUGUUCCACGACGACACCGCAACUAGAGAAAGCUCAUGUACAGCAACGAAGACCCAAAGCAGCCAAAAUAAAAUUUUUUAAAAAACAACAACAAUGUUGUGAUGAUAGUUUAAAAAAAUAAUAAAAUAAAAUGCAGAUUACUAAAUUGUACAUGAAAAAAAGUUUAUGAAUAAAAAGAUGAUAGCCAAAAAA